UCUUCUGUCUGUUGCAAUUUCACAAAGUGCUGCACAGAGAACCUUAUGACACAGAAAAUCCAGAAAGUGAAGGUAAGCCUCACCAGACCUGUACAUGAGUGUUGGUGUUAGAGUUGUAUUUUUAAGCAGUCAAACAGGAUUCCAAGAAGGUGCAGGUUGAAGGAACCCAUGACAAAUAAUAGAGCGUCAGAGACAGAUUAUUUUCUUCUGGGUAGCCCAUAUUCUGUUUUAUUUUGUUAUUCAGGUUGGCACAAAGAUUUACACAGAAACCUUUAUUCAAUACAUAAGAGUGAGGAAGAAGAUGAUGCAUCAAAUCCUGUCAGUUACUUGGCAGAUGUCAAAAAAGUUGUUUCACCUGUUUAUCGUUGGUCCAUUCACUGGUCAGAAAACCUAUCACCGUGUUAUGCAAAACCACAUGGGCAGUGAUGUGAAAGAGUAUUUGCCCCCAACAGACUUCUUCAAGUUUUUUUUCUGUCACUCCUUAUAGUUUCAGAUCAUAAAACACAUUUUAACAUCAGACAAACAAAAUAGCCAAAUUGAUUUGGUGGUGUGACCCAAUACUUUUGGCAAUUUAAUGUAUACAUUUGAGAGAGACAGAAUAAUGGGACAAGAAUUUAAUAUUGUGGCAUCCCCUUAUCUAUUAGAAUCGUAUGGAUUAUACCUAUAAGAUAGUUUGCAAACCAUACAACCCCUUGUUUAUUCAGCUGGUGGUAAAUUUCUAAGGUUAAUUUCCACCUUGGUCAGAUAGAGAAACAACAAUAGGUCAAACAGUAUUUCUAUCAUGGAGAAGAAGUGGAGGAGUAUAACCUGGACAACAGACUGGAGUGAAGAUGCAAUUGUGAAGUCGUCUACAAGAAGGGACAGAGCAGACUGUACUUCACGAGGUAGCUUAGGACCUUCUGUGGUCCUUCUGUGGUCCUUCCUUUCGGAUGAAUAAAGUAUUUUUGAAUUGAAUUUGAAUUGAAUAAGUAUCUUUUUAAGAUGAUAAAGGUUGUAAUAACAUUUUUUAUACUUGGGAUGUUACAGCAAAAUUGUUAUUGAAAAAGUCUACGUUAUUUGUAUACAUUGUUUAUAAUUUGCAUGUUCCAUGCCAAAACAAAUUCCUUGUAUGUCCAAAAACGUACUUGGCAAUAAAGCUUUUCUGAUUCUGAUUCUGAUUCUGAUUCAUACACUCAACAUGAUACACGACAUUGUUCCAUGUAGCUGCAAAAUGUGGCCACAAGAUGGCAGUGUUUCAAACUUGUCAGCACCUUUCCCAAUAUUUUCCCAGAAAGCAUCUUGGGUUCUUCCUGUUCUUUUGCUUGGACACAAAUGGAGACACUAUGUUUCUCUUACAGUAAGGAGGAAAGGAAAAUACUUGCAUUCCUUCUUGAAAUAUUUUUGUAUGAUUAAUUACAUUUGAGAAGUAAGCAGUCAUUAUUAUAACCUAAUGGUGUAUUUCUAAAGCAGAUGGAUGUUGGGACCCAGCCAUGGGUUACAACAUUAAAGGUCAGUGAGAGUUUUUCUGGAACUUUCAAAAUAAAUCGCAUUAACCUAUUUCCAGCACAGCCAGAAACAGGAAGGCUAAUAGCGGACUUCCCGUGACUUCACUGUUUGAAUAAAAACCCCACGUUCCAACAAACAGGUCUCUUUCCAUGCAGAUUGCAGACGGGAACCGGACAGGAGAGGCACCAAAUGCACGUAUGUCUCCUUGCUGGCAAGCAGACAUGACUCUUCAAUUUGGAUCCAAAAGUAACUACGAUCACAUGCAAUGAAGUUAAGUAAUGAUUUGAUGUUUGAGUAUCCGGCAUUCAUUUAUAUAAAGGGUGUAAUGAGACAAGCGUGACUUGGCUUUUCUUCUGAGGCCUCCAGAAGCAGCCAUAAUAGAAGCAGAUUUCCCCACGGCCUGGAAAAGAAGGCCGGGACUGCAUCGCCCGCCUUCCUGUGUGCACGUCCAGGUAGCGACAGCUACCUCGCCGCAUGGCGGCCACUCAAGGAGCCGAAGGUGCCUUUGUCGUACGGUUCGGCCGGGCCAGCUAAAAACCCUUCCCCACAGCUAUGGAGGUUAGCUGCAAGCUAACCCUUUGUUUACCCACACGUGGAAGUAUUUUCCUCAACGCCCAGGACAACUUCUCCUCAGCACGGUUCAUGGAAGAGGGGCGUUCAGGGUCGGACAGGAAACGACUCUGCAACUGAAAGGGAAGGACAGCAGGUGAGUUGGGUUCCUUUUUCUUUCAGUUGACAGAUAAGAUCCAGAGCUGUAAUUUUGCUGACAGGUUUUUGGUGGCUGGUCCAAUGGAGGAGAGGUACGUUGAGGUUCAGAGAGGAGAUCCAGGAAGGCCUCUGAGUCCGGGUAAGUGGGGAGAGUGAAGUGCAUCUCCGUUGGCUGGGUUACUGCACCUGAAGGUGUCCCUGAGGAUGGUGGGGCACCGCAGGCGGUGGGCUGUGUGAGUUUGGUGGAGGGUGAGCAGGAUUCGUUGCAGGCGUUCGGGAGGAACCCUAAACAUGUAGCUGUCAGUUGGAAACUGAACCGAGGAAUCUCGCUUGGAGAAUCAAAGCUUCUGGGCUUUAGAGAGGUUGGAACGAGGCAACAGGAGCCAGAGGUCAGAUGAAACCUGGAAGGAGCACACAACAGUGAUGGAUAACACCUGUGUUCCUCCAGCCUGAAUCUCAGGCGCCCUCUGGUGAAGAAGCCAUGUUAAUUGCAGGUAAACAAAACACAACACAAGAUCUCCAGACCCCAACAGUUUGGUUCUUAUGCAAAAUAAUAUUUACUUAAAUAUUAUUUUAAUAAAUAAAGGAAGCUAAUUAAACACCAUUAAGACCCAUUUAUCCAAAAGGUUUGGUUCUUAUGCAAAAUAAUAUUUC